rnacentral:sRNA from 1 species
GGAUUGACUUAAAGACUAGAUUUAUAAUUUCAUCGUAUCAUGACUGUGGACCAUACCAAGAAAUUCCGUGAACCAUAAAUUGUCAAAAAGUUCGUUAGCAGAUUCUUCAAUUUCAAACAGCCAUGUCUCAAGCACGACGUGCAAAGCCCGGAGAUCGUAUUGAAAUUAAACGCGGAGGAUAUUCUCACUGGGCCAUUUAUAUAGGUGAUAACAAGGUAGUUCACCUCACAGGGAUUGGUGGUCGAAUCCACAGCAAUGCUGGACACGUUUUCAGUAUUAGUGGUCAAACGUAUGACAAGGCAGUGGUAGCUGAAGAGUUGAUUGGUGAUGUUGUUGGAGAAAGUAAAGCCUACAUCAACAACGAACGUGAUGAAACUUGGAAGUCAGUGAAUAUUAAGAUU